UGGAUGGAUGAUGAAAUAAAUCAGACGGAUUCCCAAUGAUUUUGUUUUAAUCAAAAUAUGAUAUUAACAACCAGCUACUUCUGACUCCA
rfam:Citrus sinensis cultivar Ridge Pineapple sweet orange scaffold00123_contig_10, whole genome shotgun sequence.